rnacentral:rRNA from 1 species
UUUGUCUGAAUGUUUACUUUGAGAAAAUUAGAGUGCUCAAAGCAGGCUUUCGCCUUGAAUAGUUUAGCAUGGAAUAAUAAAGUAGGACUUUGGUUCUAUUUUGUUGGUUUUAGGUACCAAAGUAAUGGUUAAUAGGAACAGUUGGGGGCAUUCGUAUUUAACUGUCAGAGGUGAAAUUCUUAGAUUUGUUAAAGACGAACUACUGCGAAAGCAUUUGCCAA